rnacentral:rRNA from 1 species
AAACCAGCACCUCAAGUGGUCAGGAUGAUUAUUGGGCCUAAAGCAUCCGUAGCCUGCUCUGUAAGUUUUCGGGUAAAUCUGUACGCUCAACGUACAGGCUGCCGGGAAUACUGCAGAGCUAGGGAGUGGGAGAGGUAGACGGUACUCGGGAGGAAGUGGCAAAAUGCUUUGAUCUCUCGAUGACCACCUGUGGCGAAGGCGGUCUACCAGAACACGUCCGACGGUGAGGGAUGAAAGCUGGGGGAGCAAACCGGAUUAGAAACCCCAGUAGUCC